GAUGAACGCUGGGGGCGUGCCUAAUACAUGCAAGUCGAGCGAACAGACGAGGAGCUUGCUCCUCUGACGUUAGCGGCGGACGGGUGAGUAACACGUGGAUAACCUACCUAUAAGACUGGGAUAACUUCGGGAAACCGGAGCUAAUACCGGAUAAUAUAUUGAACCGCAUGGUUCAAUAGUGAAAGACGGUUUUGCUGUCACUUAUAGAUGGAUCCGCGCCGCAUUAGCUAGUUGGUAAGGUAACGGCUUACCAAGGCAACGAUGCGUAGCCGACCUGAGAGGGUGAUCGGCCACACUGGAACUGAGACACGGUCCAGACUCCUACGGGAGGCAGCAGUAGGGAAUCUUCCGCAAUGGGCGAAAGCCUGACGGAGCAACGCCGCGUGAGUGAUGAAGGUCUUCGGAUCGUAAAACUCUGUUAUUAGGGAAGAACAAAUGUGUAAGUAACUAUGCACGUCUUGACGGUACCUAAUCAGAAAGCCACGGCUAACUACGUG
rnacentral:rRNA from 1 species